rnacentral:rRNA from 1 species
GUGCCAGCAGCCGCGGCAAUACAGGGGGUGCAAGCGUUAAUCGGAAGUACUGGGCGUAAAGCGCGCGUAGGUGGUUUGUUAAGUUGGAUGUGAAAUCCCCGGGCUCAACCUGGGAACUGCAUUCAAGACUGACUGACUAGAGGGUGGUAGAGGGUGGUGGAAUUUCCUGUGUAGCGGUGAAAUGCGUAGAUAUAGGAAGGAACACCAGUGGCGAAGUCGACCACCUGGACCAACACUGACACUGAGGUGCGAAAGCGUGGGGAGCAAACAGGAUUAGAAACCCCUGUAGUCC